AUUGAACGCUGGCGGCAGGCUUAACACAUGCAAGUCGAGCGGGGUGAUGGUGCUUGCACUAUCACUUAGCGGCGGACGGGUGAGUAAUACUUAGGAAUCUGCCUAUUAGUGGGGGACAACAUCUCGAAAGGGAUGCUAAUACCGCAUACGUCCUACGGGAGAAAGCAGGGGAUCACCUGUGACCUUGCGCUAAUAGAUGAGCCUAGGUCGGAUUAGCUAGUGGGUGGGGUAAAGGCCUACCAAGGCGACGAUCGGUAGCGGGGCUGAGAGGAUGAUCCGCCACACUGGGACUGAGACACGGCCCAGACUCCUACGGGAGGCAGCAGUGGGGAAAAUUGGACAAUGGGGGGAACCCUGAUCCAGCCAUGCCGCGUGUGUGAAGAAGGCCUUAUGGUUGUAAAGCACUUUAAGCGAGGAGGAGGCUCUUUUGGUUAAUACCCAAGAUGAGUGGACGUUACUCGCAGAAUAAGCACCGGCUAACUCUGUGCCAGCCGCCGCCGUAA
rnacentral:rRNA from 1 species